rnacentral:lncRNA from 1 species
GCUUUCACUUAUCACAUCAUGGACUACAUUUCGUCUUCAUGAAUCAAUCAAAGAUAAUGCAUGUAUGAUGUAGUUCAAAGUCACGAAAACUUACCUAUUGGAGCAAGGUCCAAUGCCCCUUCAAAUGAUGUUUCAAGAUGAGAAAAUGAUACCUUUAGCUUCCUUGAGUCCCCAGGAAUGUAAUGGUAUAGUUACUUUUCCUUU